UCCUGCUCCCUAGAGAGAGCGGGUUGGAAUGUUCCAGGCCAGCCGCUUGGUGGCGCCCGUGAAGCGGGGAUUUGAUUGGGCCUUCACUCCAGAUCUCCUGAGUCUGGUACACCUUGGUGCUGUGGCGGCCCCAGAAGUAAAGAUAGGAAUGGGCGGCCCUUCUUAUGCUUGGAAAUAUUCCAAACUGUUGAGCCAUCCUUCCCCUGAGAGGGACUGAGGUCGGGUGAGGGCCAGGCUUCGCUAGGGGUCACGCGUCGAGUUAGCCGCGAGCAGGCCCUGGAGCCUGAGGCUUGUUAGCAUGCUGGGAGGUACAACCCCUCUGCCUCCCUGUGUCCCCUUCCGCGCAUUUAUCAUCAAAGAUUCUCAAGAGCAGGAGCGCGGCCCUCCUCUGUUUCUCCCAGCGGCGCCUGGCGCUCUAAGAGCUCGCAUCGUUGCCUACACCUAGUAGUCUACAAAGGCUCCUUGGGAGCCCUUUCCAUCUGCUGAAUACAAACACUGCAUGAGUGAUUUUUCGGGUCUGGAACUGGCCUGAUGUUCCCAAGACAAGGCUUUUUGGCAGAAGGAGCUUCAGAAAUGUGUGACAUGUCCCGGAUGGAGGAUUUGGGAGACCUGGGGAGAUACAGAGACUACUUCGUGAGGCUGGGGACAGACCCCAGACAUCGGGACCCUGGCUUCAAGGAGGAGGAAGGAGAGAAUGUGAAUGCUCUGUGCCAGAUAUCAAGUGUGGGGACAAAGAGGGCCUCCCCUUCCAUGCAGAUGGUGGGGCCUUAAUUGGAGGCCUGCAGAACAGCUGAGCUGUGGAUGGAGUGCUCAGAUGAAACUUCUGAAAAGGUCCAAGGAAGACAGAUAGGACCAGCCAAUAUGACUCAUAGCAUGUGACUUGCAAUUUGGACACAUGGACCCCUCCAAGGUGGCAAAGGGCAUUCUCAACUCCAGCUUCAGCCCCUUCUGAAGACAUCUGCAAAUCCCAGUAUCCAAAUCUCCAGACACCCAGAGAGAAUGGAGCAACCUGACUCUGUAAGGAUGUUUAGUGGCUCAGCUGCAGCCCUGGGAGCAAAGGUGAUUGCGAAGCAGGAACCACUGGACUGUCUGGAAAUGAUUCUCAACCUAGCAACUACUCUUUGUGCUAAAGACCCAGGGAUCUGCCUACCUGCUCACCUCUGCCACUCAUUUCCUUGCAGGUAAGAACAGAGGCUACAGGAAAUCUGGACAUAGGCAAAAAAUGCAGCCUAGGGUAAUGGGCACAGAGGUAUGAUGGUACCUGGCUUGACAGGUUCAAAGUGAGCCCAAGAUCAGCUCAAGAAAGCAGAGAGACCUGCAGCUGCUCCCAGAGUUCUCUGGACUCACUCCUUUCUGCAAUACCCCUCCUCAUCCCCUCUGCCUCCAGCUACAAAGAAGGUCUAGGAGGUGUAGGUAUGGGAGCUGGGAGGGGAUUGAGUCCUAUUGGGGAGCAGUCAUCUGGGGGUGUUGGAUGGGAAGGAUAACCUUCCAGCUGAAACCAGACCCCUGGGGCACAUCUCACCCAGGCAGCAAGCCCUUGCCUGGUAUGGGGGGAAGAGCUCAUAGGGUGGCCCCCACCAGCAGCCCCACUGGUCACCACUUCCCAAUUUUGUCUCUGUAGGCCCUGCAUUAACUGUAUCCACAAAGCCCUGGGUAGGGGUCCUCCUCCCAGCUCUGGCCAAAGGCAGGCAUUGUGUCAGGACCUGUCAUAGAGGCAAAUUUUCCUCCUGGCCUCAUCCGUUUACCUGCUAAGGUUUACCUAAUGUCCUGUAGCAAGACUCCCGUUGCGUGUACUGUCAGUGGGACAUGGAACUGCCCAGGCGGCACUAGUGGUAAAGAACCUGUCUGCCAAUGCAGGAGACAGAGGAGACACAGAUUUGAU